CUAAACUUGUAUUCCUGCAGAAACAGGCACAAUAAAGGCUGCUGAACUGAGAGCAAAUUUUUAUAUAUUUCAUGACAAAUAUGUUUAUUAUUAUAUACAUUUAUGCAGUUCUCUUGUCUUUAGUCACAGAAGCUGUUCUGGGAGUGACACUGGUGCAAAAAGAUCUCUUCUGGACAAAAGGUGAAGGCAAAACUGUGUAUAUCAGCUGCAAAGUGACCGAAUUAAGCAGGGACUAUGUCCACUGGUACCAAAAGAAAGAAGGUGAAGCUCUCACAAGGAUCCUGUACGUCAAAAGAGGAAGCUCACCGGUUCAUGAUCCUAACCAUCCUGAAGCAAAAGACUUCAGUGUGAGGAUUCAGUCAGAUAAUUACGAUCUGAAGAUAGAAAGCCUGAAGAAAAGUCACUCAGCAGUGUAUUACUGUGCCAGCUGGGAGAGCAGUGCACAGUGAAUGAAUUAAUUACAGUGUAAACAAAAAACCUGAUUAUACACAACCACAACAGUAAAAGUGUGUGUGGAGUAGUAAAGUUUGUUAAGCUGACUCUUACAUUAGAUGUUAACCAGCUAGGCAAAAACAAACCUUUACCAUUUCAAUAAUAUCAGCAAACCAUUUUUGGUCUUUAUUUCUAUUUGUUACAUAAAUAGCAGUUUCUAUUUUAUUUUGUCUAGACGCCCAUGUGAUGGUCUGAUACAUAAACAUUUUAAACGA